rnacentral:rRNA from 1 species
UACAGAGGGGGCAAGCGUUGUUCGGAAUUACUGGGCGUAAAGGGCGCGUAGGCGGCCCGCUAAGUCGAACGUGAAAUCCCCGAGCUCAACUCGGGAACCGCGUCCGAUACUGGCGGGCUUGAAUCCGGGAGAGGGAUGCGGAAUUCCAGGUGUAGCGGUGAAAUGCGUAGAUAUCGGGAGGAACACCAAUGGCGAAGGCAGCUCGCUGGGACGGUACUGACGCUGAGACGCGAAAGCGUGGGGAGCAAACAGG